GGAGCCUCACGUGGAAGUGUUCUAGGGAUCAGACGGUUGACCUCCCCUGAUCUCAUGGACAUCAGUCGUUGAGUCUGGUGGUCACAGACUGCAGACGUUGGAGCUGCAGUUCCAUCUGCCCUCUACUUUGCUGCUUCCACUGACUGCAGAGCUCAGCAAGGCUCAGUUCCUGUCUCCCUGACGGCCUCCUUGGUGUCCAAAGCACCCUGAACCUGUGUGGGUGGCCCCCGAGGGACACAGGGACCGAGGCCGGCCAGGGAGGCUGAGCCUGGUCAGGCUGGUGGAGGAAGAAAAGGCUUGAGACUGUUCCUGCCGUGGAGAGUGCCAGGCCCUUCAGAGGAGGUGGCCUUUCCACCUGACAUCCAAGUGCAGGGCAGCAGCAAAUGGGAAGAGAUCCUGUCCUGUCUCCAAGAGCCCCGAAUACCCAGGAUCCAGCCCAUGCUACAGAUGGCUUCCACAAUCAUGGUCACUGGAACUGUGGAAACUGUCUCUCUGUAGGCUAGUGCCAAACCUUCAUCACAGAGACAUAACAUUGGUGCCCCACAAGCUGGCUGAUGGUCGUCCUUCAUGUGGGAUCUACAACAAUAAAGUAGGAGAUUUGGAGACUCAUCUAAGAGAUGUUUGGCAUGCAAGUGCUCCUGAUGAAGCCAGCAUGGGAACGUCACAAAGAAUGCAAAAGCCAGGUUUCUGUGGAAUUCAUGAGAGCUUUAUGGUUGGGUAAGGCGCAAGGGGUACCCACCAACAUGUUUGGGGAAUGUCUGAAAUAGCCUGAGCCUGUAAAUGUCAAAGUAUCCGAAAGGUAAAAACUGAUGAUCCCAGAAGUUGGUUAUUGGGAAUCUCAGUGCUAGGAAUGAGUUACCUCCCCAGGAGUUGCUGGCCACAGACGCCCCAGAGGCCCCCAAAGCAGUGAAGGCCAUUGACACAUUUGGUUUCAUUCCAGAACUGAAUAGUAAGAACCUAUUAAGAGGGUGCAUGAUUUGGCUUCCAGACUUGGAGAAGCAAAGCUAGGACUGGAACCCAACUGUUCCUCUCUGUGAGCUAGCUCCUGUCGUGCCUAAAGUCGCUAAGAAUUCUGGGGAGAAUUAAAAACUAGACAUCCUACUCUACUGUGGAUCCUGGCAUGCAUCAAGAUGGAAGUGCCAGGCAAAAUGUGCCAGCUGUGCAGUAGUGGAUCAAGUGGUUCUGGAUAGAACCAACCUUCCGAUUGGAUUUAAGGCUUGCUUCACGGGGCAAAUUCACAUCUAGUACUGGGAACAUAGAGAAAAACUGGGAUAAGGGAAGUCAUAGACUCCAGUGGAAAAGCAACUGCUAUGGUGGGCUUAAUGAUAGACCAGCUCAAGGGCUUCCCCACAUUUGUAUGUACAAUCCUGGGUUAUUACUACAGUCUGUGUCUGUUGGGAUAGUUUUCCAUUUCCUCUUUUUUGUUCUUUCUCUCACUUGUGUUUUGUAGUAGGAGAAACUGCCACAUUCUGGAGAUGGACAGAUGAAUAGAAAGUCAUGACGAUGUGUUGUUCUCUCUCGGGAGUAGAAGAAACAUAGUCACACAUCUGUAUCACCCCCUCCAAGGCUCAGGGACCAUUGCGGAAGACAGGGCGGAAAGAGUGUAAGAGCCAGAGGGUGGGGUGGACUGUGUCAUGAGUGACUGUCCUUCCCAGACAAGCGAAUAUCAUCUUGCAGAGCUCAUCUGAGUCUGCCUGCAAAAGAACUUCCCAUUGGGAGCUGGUUGAAGCCCCACCGCAACAGAUGUUCACCUAAGUAUCCAACUGUGCCCUAGCACCUAACAAGAAUGCAUGUGGCAUGGGGGAGGGGCUAAAGGGCAGGGGCUCCAUGGCUGUGGGGAAAACCCUGAUUGGUGCUGGAUAAGGCUUUGGCUUUACAGGUGUGGCUAGUUGUGGGGAGUAGUGUCCACGCCCCUGUAAGGCACCCCUUACAAAGGCUCUGUACGCAAGCUCAAUAAAUUCAUUGGUUCUUCAGAGUGAA